UUCAGACUCCCUCUCAUAUUUUUGGCGAAAAACUAAAGUCCCUCUCUUCUCUCUUGCAAUACCCAGUCAGAGUCUCUCUCAUCCUUCUCACCUACAAGCUCCCUCUCUUCUCUCUCGCGAUACCCACAGUCAGUCUAAACCCUCUGUGGCUAUACCCACAGUCACAGUCACUCUCUCAUCCCUCUCACCUUCAGCAUCUCUCUUCUUCAUUUCUCUCUUCUCUGUCCCCUAUCUCUACCAUCAUCUAUUCCUAAACCCUAAAAGAGAGAGCCAUAGACAUCCUCCUCCUCGUCUAGAAGAGCCAUCGGACUCCCUUCGUUUACUUCUGUCGUCAUCGUGCUCCAUGUGAGAUUAUUUCAGCUAGGGUUUCAAUUUGUUGGACGGAGGUCAUUAUAAAAAUUUUAAUUUUUUGGCUGCUACAGAGAUAGAUCUGUCACCGGUGACUCUAUAACUGUUCGUGAGACAAUUUCUGUGUCUUCUUCUCAAAUCAACAGCGCCACGUCUUUUGAAGUCUCUGGUAAUCUCUCUCUCAGUGGCUCGCUCACCCCUCGCUCAGUCUCUCUUCCUCGAUUGGUUCUAUUGCUUGCAAAAGGGACUGCUGUUCAAAAAUCAUUUUCUUGUUCCAUAAUUUGCUCUACAAGCACCAGCUACUGUAAUCUCGUGGUUUAAGAAGAAAGAUGUAAGUUAUGAAAGUGAUAUGAAGGAUGCAGUUGGUGUGUCCUUGCCAUUAAUAUAUGCAGCUGUAAAAAACAUCCAGGAGGAAGUUUUCCCCAAAAGUUGCUUACAGAACAUUGAGAUUCCUAGUUCUCCUCGGACAAAUAAGACUGGGUAAGGGCACCGCAAUAACCUUCAACAACUCAUUUAGAGGUCAGUUGAAGUCCGAACUUUGCAUUCCCUUUGAAGCUCGCGCAGCUGGCUUUGGUGGAGUCUCUUAUCUCUGCCUGUACUGAAUCUUGAUAACUACGGUAUGCGAGAAGUGGGAAAAAGAAGGCAUUUUACACCUAAAUGGAAUUUGACGAGGUUCGAGAUGAAUGGGCUUGUCGAGUGCUAGAGUGGAUUUGAGUUUGAACAUUCUCCUUGUUUUUGUAGUAUUUGCUUAUUUAUGUAUGGAUGACGUAUGGAUUUUGGUUUACUUGCAGAACUCAUCUGUGCACCUUAUAUAGGGAUGUUUUUUGAUGUUACAAUGGCAAUAUAUAUGAAAUGGAUGAGAUGCCUCUAUAUUUUGAGACAGAAACUAAGUAAAAUAUUAUGUGAAAUGUGGAAAUU